rnacentral:rRNA from 1 species
GGGUCCCUACGGGGCGCAGCAGUAGGGAAUCUUCCACAAUGGACAAAAGUCUGAUGGAGCAACGCCGCGUGAGUGAAGAAGGGUUUCGGCUCGUAAAGCUCUGUUGGUAGUGAAGAAAGAUAGAGGUAGUAACUGGCCUUUAUUUGACGGUAAUUACUUAGAAAGUCACGGCUAACUACGUGCCAGCAGCCGCGGUAAUUCGUAGGUGGCAAGCGUUGUCCGGAUUUAUUGGGCGUAAAGCGA